UCUCAAUUCCAUGAUGAAUGAUUUUGGCAGAAGAGUUCUUGAAGACUAUAUUCAUCACCCAAGACUGAUUAUAAUAA